UACGUAGGGGGCAAGCGUUGUCCGGAAUCAUUGGGCGUAAAGAGCGCGUAGGCGGCCCAGUAAGUCCGCUCUGAAAGUCAGGGGCUCAACCCCUGAAUGCGGGUGGAUACUGCCGGGCUAGAGUCCGGAAGAGGCGAGUGGAAUUCCUGGUGUAGCGGUGAAAUGCGCAGAUAUCAGGAGGAACACCAAUGGCGAAGGCAGCUCGCUGGGACGGUACUGACGCUGAGGCGCGAAAGCGUGGGGAGCGAACGGG
rnacentral:rRNA from 1 species